rnacentral:rRNA from 1 species
UACGUAGGGGUCUAGCGUUGUCCGGAAUUAUUGGGCGUAAAGAGCUCGUAGGCGGUUCGGCAAGUCGGAUGUGAAAGCCCGAGGCUUAACCUCGGGUCUGCAUUCGAUACGGGCUAGCUAGAGUGUGGUAGGGGAGAUCGGAAUUCCAGGUGUAGCGGUGAAAUGCGUAGAUAUCUGGAGGAACACCGGUGGCGAAGGCGGCAUCCUGGACCGGCAUUGACGCUGAGGCGCGAAAGCUAGGGGAGCAAACGGG